rnacentral:rRNA from 1 species
UACGAACUGUGCGAACGUUAUUCGGAAUCACUGGGCUUAAAGGGUGCGUAGGCGGCGGCUCAAGUCAGGUGUGAAAUCCCCCGGCUCAACCGGGGAACAGCGCUUGAAACUGGGUGGCUCGAGUGAGGCAGGGGUGCAUGGAACUUCCGGUGGAGCGGUGAAAUGUGUAGAUAUCGGAAGGAACGCCGGCGGCGAAAGCGGUGCACUGGGCCUUGUCUGACGCUGAGGCACGAAAGCUAGGGGAGUGAACGGG